rnacentral:rRNA from 1 species
CAAGAGCGUAUAUUAAAGUUGCUGCGGUUAAAAAGCUCGUAGUUGGAUUUCAGUCUAGGAAGGUUAACUCGCCGAAAGGUUGUACGUUGAUUUUCCUCAGACUUCGUCAGAAGCUCGUGCUGCACUUAACUGUGUGGUACGAUGUUCUGACCUUUUACCUUGAGGAAAGUAGAGUGUUUCAGGCAGGCUACCCAGCUUGAAUACAUUAGCAUGGAAUAAUGAAAUGGAUCUCGGUUCGAUUUCGUUGGUUCUAGAGCUGAGGUGAUGAUCAAUAGGAACAGGCGAAGGUAUUCGUACUUGAGAGUGAGGAGUGAAAUCCGAUGAUCUCUUAAAGACGAUCCGAGGCGAAAGCAUUUGUCAAGGAUGUUUUCAUUGAUCAAGAACGAAAGUUAGGGGAUCGAAGACGAUCAGAUACCAU